GCCCCGGUAGCUCAACUGGAUAGAGCAAGUGCCUUCUAAGCACUAGGUCGGGGGUUCGAGUCCCUCCCGGGGCG
rnacentral:tRNA from 1 species